GCCCUCAAAUUCAGUCCUCUCUGAAAUUGCAGAAGUCUCUGAAGCAUAUAAUUUGUGGCUUCCAAUGAGUUUGAACUUCAUGCUUGAAGUGACGCACAAGCUCUGGAUAUCCUGGUACACACGGAAACUGAACAGAGGCACAGCCGACAGUUGCUUCAACUUGGCAAAGAUUAAACAUAAGACAGUUUCAUCUGAAACUUUAAAAAUAUCAUCACCAACCAUUGAUAACAAGCCCAUGGACUGAUUUUCAACUGUAGAAGCUGAAAAGAAAGAAUAAAAGAUAUUUUUCUCUCAUUUUCACUGAGAACCAAAAUAUUCAUGUCCAAAACCAAGGGCCAUGAUGAAUGCUUUCAAGCACACUCUUAAAUGAAUAAGUCAUUAAACUCUU